rnacentral:sRNA from 1 species
CGAUUCGGUAUCGGGGCCUGAACUCGAA